rnacentral:rRNA from 1 species
AACGGCGAGUGAAGCGGCAAAAGCUCAAAUUUGAAAUCUAGCACUUUCAGUGUUCGAGUUGUAAUUUGAAGAAGGUAACUUUGGAAUUGGCUCUUGUCUAUGUUCCUUGGAACAGGACGUCACAGAGGGUGAGAAUCCCGUGCGAUGAGAUGUCCAAUUCUAUGUAAAGUGCUUUCGAAGAGUCGAGUUGUUUGGGAAUGCAGCUCUAAGUGGGUGGUAAAUUCCAUCUAAAGCUAAAUAUUGGCGAGAGACCGAUAGCGAACAAGUACAGUGAUGGAAAGAUGAAAAGAACUUUGAAAAGAGAGUGAAAAAGUACGUGAAAUUGUUGAAAGGGAAGGGCUUGAGAUCAGACUUGGUAUUUUGCGUUCCCUUCCUUUUUGGUUGGGUUCCUCGCAGUUUACUGGGCCAGCAUCGGUUUGGAUGGUAGGAUAAUGACAUUGGAAUGUAGCUUUACUUCGGUGAAGUGUUAUAGACUUUGUUGAUACUGCCUAUCUAGACCGAGGACUGCGUCUUUGACUAGGAUGCUGGCGUAAUGAU